UGUUAACAGAAUGGCACCAAAUGGCAACGUUUCCCUGUAAUCUGUCUGGGAUUCCACUUUUAUUCUGUAAUACAUUGUCACCAAAUGGCCAAGUUUUCCUGGGAUUUGUUUUUUCGUAGAUCGGUUUGCCCAGAUUUGAUACCAGCGCAAUAUUGACACUUACCGUCCAACAAUGUGGUUAUUUCUCCAUGAAUUCAAAUCUUCCCUUAUUAUGCAGAAUCCAGUACAACACCAUAAUAGUAGCUUCAGUACUACUCUCCAGAAGUUAUGUGGAGUGCAUCUUACGUUUGGUUCGUGAUGUUUUCUGAAGAUUCCUGUAGAUAACCUUCCUUAAAAAUUAAAGGAUUGGCUCCUCAUCCAGAGAACAACUCCCAUCCCCAGCUGUAAUACUGAGGAUUCUCCUGCAGCUGAUGAGGUCAAGUGGGCCUGGGAGCAGCUGUGCAGCCUGACCCUGUAGGCGGCCCCAUUCAACCCUCAGCUUUCUUCAAGUCAGCGGCCAGCUCUCUCCCUGCCGGAGUGUCUGAGUCUGGGGUGUAGCCUGCGUGAAGGGGACAGAGAAAGGAAAUGGCCUCUUUCAGCAAAUAAAUCUUUCUCUCUGGAGGCAACCAGAAGACCAGGGGACUCUUUUUUGGUCUUGGGGUUUGAGACCAAAGCCCCACCUUUCCUUCUCUGCAUGUGUUUCCUGCAGAACUUCAAGGGUGGUAGGUGAGCAGUACAGAGGUGAGUGUUCCCCUUUUAACUUGGUUUACUCUUGCGAGCUGACAAGCUUUUGUUAUGAAGACAAAAAGGCACGGCACUUGAGUUACAUGCACAACCCUAAGAAGCAAGACACCUUUUUCUUAGAGAAGUAGAAGACCAAUUCCAAACCGCCCUUAUCUGCCCUGUGUUUUCCAGUCUCAAGGAGGCUGACAAUCCACAUCCUAUGCCUCUCUAGGAUUCUCUUCUGAGACCAGGCUCAUGUCUGCAUCACAUGGCAUCUGACUUUGGAAUCAGGAAUGUACCCCAAAGCAACAGGCUGGUUCAGCCCCGAGAACAGUAGGAUGCACAAAACUCAAUUCAGAUUACUCUCUGCUCCUCUGCUAUUCUCUUUCCCAGGACAAGGAUUUAAUGCACUCAUUUGUGUGUCCAUCUUUCCCUUCAAUAGCAGUUCUAAACUUUUUGGUCUCAGGACCUCCCUUUAGACUCUCAAAAAUCGAGGACCCAAAGACCCAGAAUAGCCAACACGCUAUUGAAGGAGUAGAACAAAAUUGGAAGACUGACACUACCCGACUUCAAGACCUACUAUAAAGCUAUAAUAAUCAAGACAGUGUGGUAUUGGUGAAAGAGGAGACAAGUAGAUCAAUGGAACAGAAU